UACGUAGGUGGCAAGCGUUGUCCGGAUUUACUGGGCGUAAAGGAUGCGUAGGCGGACAUUUACGUCAGAUGUGAAAUACCCGAGCUUAACUUGGGUGCUGCAUUUGAAACUGGGUGUCUAGAGUGCAGGAGAGGUAAGUGGAAUUCCUAGUGUAGCGGUGAAAUGCGUAGAGAUUAGGAAGAACACCAGUGGCGAAGGCGACUUACUGGACUGUAACUGACGCUGAGGCAUGAAAGCGUGGGGAGCAAACAGG
rnacentral:rRNA from 1 species